GACAGAGGAUGCAAGCGUUAUCCGGAAUGAUUGGGAGUAAAGCGUCUGUAGGUGGCUCUUCAAGUCCGCCAUCAAAUCCCAGGGCUCAACCCUGGACAGGCGGUGGAAACUACCAAGUUGGAGUACGGUAGGGGCAGAGGGAAUUUUCGGUGGAGUGGUGAAAUGCAUUGAGAUCGGAAAGAACACCAACGGCGAAAGCACUCUGCUGGGCCAACACUGACACUGAGAGAUGAAAGCUAGGGGAGCAAACAGG
rnacentral:rRNA from 1 species